AGCGAACGCUGGCGGCAGGCCUAACACAUGCAAGUCGAACGAACUCUUCGGAGUUAGUGGCGGACGGGUGAGUAACACGUGGGAACGUGCCUUUAGGUUCGGAAUAACUCAGGGAAACUUGUGCUAAUACCGAAUGUGCCCUUCGGGGGAAAGAUUUAUCGCCUUUAGAGCGGCCCGCGUCUGAUUAGCUAGUUGGUGAGGUAAAGGCUCACCAAGGCGACGAUCAGUAGCUGGUCUGAGAGGAUGAUCAGCCACAUUGGGACUGAGACACGGCCCAAACUCCUACGGGAGGCAGCAGUGGGGAAUCUUGCGCAAUGGGCGAAAGCCUGACGCAGCCAUGCCGCGUGAAUGAUGAAGGUCUUAGGAUUGUAAAAUUCUUUCACCGGGGACGAUAAUGACGGUACCCGGAGAAGAAGUCCCGGCUAACUUCGUG
rnacentral:rRNA from 1 species